CGGGAAGAGCUCAAAUUUAAAAUCUGGCAGUCUCUCGGCUGUCCGAGUUGUAAUCUAGAGAAGUGCUAUCCGCACUGGACCGUGUACAAGUCUCCUGGAAUGGAGCGUCAUAGAGGGUGAGAAUCCCGUCUUCGACACGGACUACCAGGGCUCUGUGAUGUGCUCUC
rnacentral:rRNA from 1 species